AAAAAAAAAGAGUGAUGAAACACGAGGACUUUCCUGGAGGUCACCCAUCCUAGUACUACUCUCGCCCAAGCACGCUUAACUGCGAAGUUCUGAUGGGAUCUGGUGCAUUAGUGCUGGUAUGAUCGCAUCUGUUACUACAUGCAAUGCAAUCGUAUAUAUUCUUUUUUGAAGACUUUAUGAUCCAUUUGUCGUAGGUCCCACCAGUUAUGUAGGAAUACCCUAUCUCGUUUAUAAGAGCUUUGAUACAUGCAAAAUAUUCGAAAACAAUGUCCGAACAUAUAAUGUUUGCCCCAAAAUAUAGCAAAGACCACGAAAAUGCCAUAAAAAGUACAUUAAGGUCAAAAUUUGGAGUAGGAAAAAAAAUCAAUAGGAGAAUUCCAUUUUCCUUCCUCAUUCAUUGGAGAGCUCUCUUUGGGCAUUCCAAAAAGGUAUCACAUGCCAAGUUUGGCCUCACGGUCUAAAAGUUAUAGAGUAAUACAUUUUUAACAAAAAAAAAAGAGAAAAACCGAAAAAAAGAGGGAUGCAACACGAAGACUUUUCUGGAGGUCACCCAUCCUAGUACUACUCUCCCCCAAGCACGCUUAACUGUGGUGUUCUGAUAGGAUCAAGUGCAUUAGUGCUGGUAUGAUCGCAUCAGUUACUACAUGCAAUGCAAUCAUAUAUAUUCUUUUUUGAAGACUUUAUGAUCCAUUGUCGUAGGUCCCACCAGCUAUGUAGGAAUACCCUUUCUUGUUUAUAAGAGCUUUGAUACAUGGAAAAUAUUCGAAAACAAUGUCCGAACAUAUAAUUUUUGUCCCGUAAUAUAGCAAAGAUCACGAAAAGGCCAGAAAAAAUACAUUUCGGUCAAAAUUUGGAGUAGAAAAAAAGCCCUUCCUCAUUCAUUGGACAGCUCUCUUUGGGCUUUCCGAAAAGGUAUCACAUGCCAAGUUUGGCCUCACGGUCUAAACCUUAUAGACUCAUACAUUUUUCACAAAAAAAAGAAGAGAAAAGCCAAAAAAAAAGAGUGAUUAAACACGAGGACUUUCCUGGAGGUCACCCAUCCUAGUACUACUCUCGCCCAAGCACGCUUAACUGCGAAGUUCUGAUGGGAUCUGGUGCAUUAGUGCUGGUAUGAUCGCAUCUGUUACUACAUGCAAUGAAAUCGUAUCUAUUCUUUUUUGAAGAUUUUAUGAUUCAUUUACCGUGGGUCCCACCAGCUAUGUAGGAAUAACCUAUCU
rnacentral:sRNA from 1 species